UACGUAGGACCCAAGCGUUAUCCGGAGUGACUGGGCGUAAAGAGUUGCGUAGGUGGUUAGUAAAGUGAAUAGUGAAACCUGGUGGCUCAACCAUACAGACUAUUAUUCAAACUCACUAACUCGAGAGUAGCAGAGGUAACUGGAAUUUCUAGUGUAGGAGUGAAAUCCGUAGAUAUUAGAAGGAACACCAAUGGCGUAGGCAGGUUACUGGGCUAUUUCUGACACUGAGGCACGAAAGCGUGGGGAGCGAACCGG
rnacentral:rRNA from 1 species